rnacentral:misc_RNA from 1 species
AGAAAAUCAUCACCAAAUUCAAUUCGUAAAGCCAAGAGACAUUAUCAAUGAUAAAAGAAACAACUGGAAAACUAAAAUUAUGGAACUAUACACAUACAUACCAACCCCGCUUCCCACCCACCCCAUCAUCAACCAUAUAAUGACUCUCCCUACGACCCUCAGUAAAAAUCUAAGCUUUUUCUCUCUAUUCACAAAAAAUAA